GAUCCAAGCAACGCGUAACCUGGCUGCUUCUUACGUACCUACUUCCAUGUUCUCCACCUUCAAGCCGCUUCCACCACAUCUCCUCCCACCGGCGAUGGUUCCGAUGGCAGCGAGGCAGCGUCAGUGUCCUUCAUGGUUUUACACGUCCCAUUCGAGUCUCAUCUCAAAUGGCAGCGGGCCUGACCCUGGAAGGCAUGUUGAAGGCAACGUUCUGGCAUUGGAUGAGGGUUUGGGGUUUCAUCCCAGAAAUUCAAUGGCGGCCUGGAGUGGAUUUACCAGAGAAGAGGUCGGGUCUCACCGUGAUAAGGGAUUAGGUAAUUUGGACUUGCAUUUAGGUCUUUGAUCACCUGUACAAUUAUUUGGGCUUGAUUCAAUGUUGAUGAUAUGUAGAGCCUUGUUGUGCCGUUAAUUAGGGACAUGUUUACAUUUUCCAAUUUGG
rnacentral:misc_RNA from 1 species